CCAGACUCCUACGGGAGGCAGCAGUGGGGAAUAUUGGGCAAUGGGCGCAAGCCUGACCCAGCAACGCCGCGUGAAGGAAGAAGGCUUUCGGGUUGUAAACUUCUUUUAAGAGGGAAGAGUAGAAGACGGUACCUCUUGAAUAAGAAGCACCGGCUAAAUACGUGCCAGCAGCCGCGGUAAUACGUAUGGUGCAAGCGUUAUCCGGAUUUACUGGGCGUAAAGGGAGCGCAGGCGGCGCGCCAAGUCUGAUGUGAAAGCCCGGGGCCCAACCCCGGGACUGCUCUUGGAACUGCGUGGCUGGAGUGCAGGAGGGGCAGGCGGAAUUCCUGGUGUAGCGGUGAAAUGCGUAGAUAUCAGGAGGAACACCGGCGGCGAAGGCGGCCUGCUGGACCGCGACUGACGUUGAGGCUCGAAAGCGUGGGGAGCGAACAGGAUUAGAUACCCUCGUAA
rnacentral:rRNA from 1 species